UACGUAGGGUGCAAGCGUUAAUCGGAAUUACUGGGCGUAAAGCGUGCGCAGGCGGUUUUGUAAGUCAGACGUGAAAGCCCCGGGCUUAACCUGGGAACGGCGUUUGAAACUGUGCGUCUAGAGUGCGUCAGAGGGGGGUGGAAUUCCGCGUGUAGCAGUGAAAUGCGUAGAGAUGCGGAGGAACACCGAUGGCGAAGGCAGCCCCCUGGGAUGACACUGACGCUCAUGCACGAAAGCGUGGGGAGCAAACAGG
rnacentral:rRNA from 1 species